GACGAACGCUGGCGGCGUGCUUAACACAUGCAAGUCGAGCGGAAAGGCCACUUCGGUGGUACUCGAGCGGCGAACGGGUGAGUAACACGUGAGUAAUCUGCCCUUGGCUUUGGGAUAGCCACCGGAAACGGUGAUUAAUACCGGAUACGACCACUUCUCGCAUGGGAUGGUGGUGGAAAGUUUUUCGGCCAGGGAUGUGCUCGCGGCCUAUCAGCUUGAUGGUGAGGUAAUGGCUCACCAUGGCUUCGACGGGUCGCCGGCCUGAGAGGGUGGCCGGUCCCACGGGGACGUCGACGCGGCCAAGACUCCUACGGGAGGCAGCAGUGGAGAAUAUUGGGCAAUGGGCGGAAGCCUGAUCCAGCAACGCCGCGUGAGGGCUGACGGCCUUCGGGUUGUAAACCUCUUUCGGUGGGGACGAAGCGCAAGUGACGGUACCCACUAAAGAAGCACCGGCCAACUACGUGCCAGCCGCCGCCGUAAAAC
rnacentral:rRNA from 1 species